AACGAACGCUGGCGGCAUGCCUAACACAUGCAAGUCGAACGAGAUCUUCGGGUCUAGUGGCGCACGGGUGCGUAACGCGUGGGAAUCUGCCCUUUGGUUCGGAAUAACAGUUGGAAACGACUGCUAAUACCGGAUGAUGACGAAAGUCCAAAGAUUUAUCGCCAGAGGAUGAGCCCGCGUAGGAUUAGCGAGUUGGUGUGGUAAAGGCGCACCAAGGCGACGAGCCUUAGCUGGUCUGAGAGGAUGAUCAGCCACACUGGGACUGAGACACGGCCCAGACUCCUACGGGAGGCAGCAGUGGGGAAUAUUGGACAAUGGGCGAAAGCCUGAUCCAGCAAUGCCGCGUGGGUGAUGAAGGCCUUAGGGUUGUAAAGCUCUUUUACCCGUGAUGAUAAUGACAGUACCGGGAGAAUAAGCUCCGGCUAACUCCGUGCCAGCCGCCGCGGUAA
rnacentral:rRNA from 1 species